rnacentral:lncRNA from 1 species
UGAAGAUCAGACAUUUAACCUUUGAAAUGUGUUUCUUAUCAUGGAAUCAGUCCUUCUAGGAAAAGGGAAGAAGAAGGAGGUCAUGACAGCUUCAAAGGCUCUCUGCUUCCUGAGAAACAACAAAGCCUUGGAUUACUCAACAGGAAACCAUAUUUUUUUCAGAAGAAUUUAUUUCAACCAUUGUUUUACACUUACUCUUCUGGAAAACUCAACAGAGGAGCAGUUUCUCCCAAAAAG